UACGAAGGGGGCUAGCGUUGUUCGGAAUUACUGGGCGUAAAGCGCGCGUAGGCGGACAUUUAAGUCAGGGGUGAAAUGCCAGGGCUCAACCGUGGAAUUGCCUUUGAUACUGGAUGUCUGGAGUUCGGGAGAGGGGAGUGGAAUUCCGAGUGUAGAGGUGAAAUUCGUAGAUAUUCGGAGGAACACCAAAAGCGAAGGCAGCAGACUGGAGCGCUCCUGACACUGAAACAAGAAAGCGUGGGUAGCGAAUGGG
rnacentral:rRNA from 1 species